rnacentral:rRNA from 1 species
GUGGGGAAUCUUGCACAAUGGGCGAAAGCCUGAUGCAGCGACGCCGCGUGAGCGAUGAAGCCCUUCGGGGUGUAAAGCUCUUUCGACGGGAACGAUAAUGACGGUACCCGGAGAAGAAGCUGCGGCUAACUACGU